UUCCCAGAGGCCACGGCAGGCUCGUCGCGGUUCCCCUUAGUCAGCUCUCCCCGGUGCGCUAACCCGCGCGUGCGGCUUUCGUUCCGUUCCAGUCAGACUCGGAGUCAGCCUCAGCCUUGAAGUAACGCCCGGGAAAGGUAGAGACCAGAAAGAAGCUGACGACGGCGUGAAGUCUGUCGGUCGCCGUGGGGAGCGGAUCGGGGGCGGUCCCCGAGGACGGAGUGAGAGGUAUAUGCGGAUGGUGAAAAUCUGUUUAUGGAGCACUGUGUGUUGGGCACUUUUAUAAGCACUUUACAUGGGGACCUACUGUAAUCCGAAGCUGUGCGGUUUGCACUACUCACAAGAGAAGUGAAGCACCGAGAUGCUGAGUGUCCUGCCCGAGGCUUCGUGUCUAGUAAGUGGAACCCGGAGUCCUGGCCCUGGUGAUAGAGGAGAGCUGCAGAGACUGCCCUCCUUACUUGUUGCCCAGAAUGACCGAGAACUGACAUACAAGGGCCUAAGGCUUCCAAAACUCCUGAAAAAGUAGUGCGACCUCCAUGUUAAUGACCCGUUUCUCCAGCUGCCUCCUCUAAAGAUGCAGUGUGAAGGCAGCUGUCCAUGAAGCAGGAGGAGAGCCCUCACCAGGAAGCCAACCAUGCUGGCCCCCCCAUCUCACACUUCCAGCCUCCAGAACUAUGAGAAAUAGAUGUCUGAUGUUAGAGCUACCAAGUCUAUGGUGUUCUGUGAUAGCAGCCCGAACCAACAGAGAACAUUAACUAAAGCUACGUAGAAUAAUCAGAAUUAAUAAAUAAUUUAAGCCAAGUCACACAAAAAUAUAUAUAGUAAGAGGCCAUUUAGAUAAAGUUUAAAAACAGGCUAAAACUAAAUGUAUUGUUUAGAGAUUCCUUUAUGGAUGGCAAUACUGUAAGGAAAAGCAAGGAAAGACAAUUAUCACAAAUGUGGGAAGAAUGGUUACGUCUUGGGUAAGAGGAUGUGAAUGAGAAGGCUCAAACAAAGCAUCUAAGAUACAAGCAAUGGGGGCGCCUGUGUGGCUCAGUCGUUGAGCGUCUGCCUUCGGCUCAGGUCGUGA